UGGAUUUGAUACCCGGAGGAUCCCAAGACCUCAACUACCACCGGAUCAAACUUGUGGCGAGGGCUCUCCUCCCUUUCGUGUCGAAGCCGAGAUUGCCGUCACCCGAAGAGGACAUGUGGAUCCUGUGCUGGGCGCAACUCGCGCUGUUUCACGCGGUAAAUAGCAGAUUUUGUGAUCCUCAGAUGGUGGUUGGUAAUCCAUCCAAAAUUACUUCAGAUGCAGAUUAACAUGCGGAUUUCCCCUGUUAUUAUGAGUUUAUGAAUCAACACAUAGAUGGCCUUUUCUUAUUGCCAUUUUAUCAAGAUUACCUUCACACUAUUGAACCUUGUGAAUGUAUGGCUGUACCUAUAUGAUUAAGAUUAUUGUCACAAGGAUUUUUGUGUACAACCAUGUUUAUCCAAGAUUAAACAUACGAGUGUCGGUUACAUCAUCUUUCAGGUCAUUACAUGUAUCCACACAAUUCAAGUUCAUAUUCUGGAAGGAUGUUGACCCACGAACCUGAUAGUAUUG